CCCAGCAAGGGAGUCACACUCAGUGAACAUCUUGGGAUAAAUUCUAUAGUUGUUAGGUCGUCCCCGAAUUUGAUUCUGAAAUUUUAAUCACGAAGUAGACUGUUUACCAGGGCCGCAAAUAGAAAGGGUCAAAUUUACUACUUUGAAGUAUACCUCCAUUAAGACACUUAAACGAGGACAUCUUAUUGCGGAUGCGAACACAUUGUUUCCUUCUCGUCAAAAAGGUUCGAAUCCAUCUCACUACCGCGGGGCGUACAUCCAAUUUCUCUAAUUCAGCAACUAGGACACCGUGAUCAACUAAAUCGAAACCUUUACUAAAGUCUGCGAAAAAUACGCGAGCCGAGGAACCACCUCGGUCAAGGGUCUCCAGAAUAUUAUGUAGUAAAAAGACUAAUGUAGAACGGCCUUUCAUUGCGAACUGAUAUGGGUCAAUCUGGUCGCCAAUAUCGGCCAGUAAGGGUUCCAAAGUAAAGCCUUCCAUUAUUUUGGCUAUUUGCGUUGCCAGAGAUAGUGGGCGAAGGUCGUCCUCAAUUAUCUUGGGCGGCGUACACUUAGGUAUUGGGGAGACAAUUGAUGACUUUAAUAAUUCAGGGAUUUUUCCUUGUCUCAAAGUACUGGUAUAAAUGUCAGACAAAGUACUGGUAUAAAUGUUUUAACUUGUUUGACACCCAAGGUUUAUCAUAGACGCUGAUUUUUUGCUUUUUCAAAGGGAAGUUGAAGAUGAUGAAUGGUUUGGUGCAUGUUAGCGAUGGCAUUAUUCUAGAAAGGAAUGUUGGGAAAACGAGAAGAACAAGAGCCACGAGCAACCCAGAAAGCAUCUUGCUCCGUGAGACGAAAUGCAGAACGGUGACAUUUCAACGCUCAUUCAUCAACAGAUCGACCAGGAUAUGGAACAUUCUGCCUGAUGAACUGAGACAUCAAUCUUUGAGCUUAGUCAAAUUUAAAUCUUUAUUACUCGAUUAUUACCGUACCGCUUUAAAUCUAGUCUAUGAUCACGAUACCACUACCGCUACCUCUUGCUGACCUGAUGUGCAUGUAAUUGGUUAGCUCGAUAAACUAUAAUGUUCAGUGGUGGCGGUAGUGGUGGUGGAAGUCGAAUCUUGUUCUUGCUAUGUAUUGCAUUGCAUUGCAUUGUAUUGCAUUGCACUGCAUUGCAUAAUAUUCAGUAUUGUUCUGUGCGAUGUAGUUUUGUUUUGCGAUAUGUUGUUUUAUGUUGUAUUCCUAAAAUUUAGCAAUUUUUAAAGGGCCCACAGUAAUUGGUGUUUACUGUUGUGGUGUCUCUGCCACUUGUUUGUUGUAAGUGGCGAAGUUUAAUAAAUAAAUAAAUUAAUUAAUAAAUAAAUAAAUAAGUUGAUUUCGAUUUCGUAUUUCGUAUUAUUUUCGGUUGCGUAUUAG